GGGGACGCGUGGUUUCGACAGGGGAAGUUCCGGCGGGAUUGCAGGUCGAGGCGCCAUCACACCUCGUAAAAAGGUGGCAAAAACAUUAACUGGCAAGCAAAAGCUAGCCCUCGCAGCCUAAGGGCUGCGACGUUCACCAUCUCCUACCCCGAAGGUGAUGGAUGAGCGCCGAUAAUCGGGGUAUGAUCAAUCCUACGCCGAUAGGAAAGAUCGAGAACUAAUCGGCUCAUCUCCACAAUUGUCCGUGCUGGUCUGGACAGUUGGAGUGAAACUAAAGUACCAGCUAAACCUGUAGCAUAUCCUAGACUGGUGCUCUUCUGGACGGGGAGUUCGACCCUCCCCCGUCUCCACCA
rnacentral:tmRNA from 1 species